rnacentral:rRNA from 1 species
AUGGGAACGCGAAGAACCUUACCUAGACUUGACAUCUCCUGAAUAGUGUAGAGAUACAUGAAGCCCUUCGGGGCAGGAAGACAGGUGGUGCAUGGUUGUCGUCAGCUCGUGUCGUGAGAUGUUGGGUUAAGUCCCGCAACGAGCGCAACCCUUAUCCUUUGUUGCCAGCGAUUCGGUCGGGAACUCAAAGGAGACUGCCAGUGAUAAACUGGAGGAAGGUGGGGAUGACGUCAAGUCAUCAUGGCCCUUACGAGUAGGGCUACACACGUGCUACAAUGGCGCAUACAAAGAGAAGCGACCUCGCGAGAGCAAGCGGACCUCAUAAAGUGCGUCGUAGUCCGGAUUGGAGUCUGCAACUCGACUCCAUGAAGUCGGAAUCGCUAGUAAUCGUAGAUCAGAAUGCUACGGUGAAUACGUUCCCGGGUCUUGUACACACCG